CCCUUAGAUGUUCUGGGCUGCACGCGCGCUACACUGAUGCACUCAACGAGUUUACGACCUUGCCCGAUAGGGUUGGGUAAUCUUUUGAAAGUGCAUCGUGAUUGGGAUAGAUGAUUGCAAUUCUUCAUCUUCAACGAGGAAUGCCUAGUAAACGCAAGUCAUCAGCUUGCAUUGAUUACGUCCCUGCCCUUUGUACACACCGCCCGUCGCUCCUACCGAUUGAAUGAUCCGAUGAAUACCAUGGAUUGAGAGUACGAAUAGGUUCGCUUAUUUCUGCUGCUCGAGAAGUGGAGUAAAUCUUAUCAUUUAGAGGAAGGAGAAGUCGUAACA
rnacentral:rRNA from 1 species